UCUAAGCGAAUUUCAUUCGGUUCUUGAUUCUCAUUGGCUAGUUGGGAUGCGCACGAGCUUCGUGUAAUCAUAAACUUGUCUAAGUUGAAGCGUGUACUAUUUGUACCAGGAGUGGAAACACAGUACGGCGGGCGGAUUAUUAUUGCCAGGACCACUUCGCGAAAUGGGAAAUGGUGUCGCGAUGGUCCUUCGUCGCGCGAACGACGACGCGCAUUGCGCUACAUGCCUGGCCGCCGUUUCUCACAGCCUCACGAAAUAACGUUGACCAGUCGAUAACGAUAUAUAUCGCUAUCACCUGAUUAUCUAAUGCCGCUCCGGGGCGCAGACCUAUGAAACAUCGUAGAAUGAGACGCGACACGGUAGGAAGCAUUUUAUAGAACAAACAUCGGCAAUCGUCAGGUGGAACGCGUUCCGGGUCUCGUUCUCGGAGUUUUCUCACGGGAACCAGCAUGGCACCUUCUGCUAGGUACCAUUUAACGAGAUCAGGAGUAAAUACCAGCGCGGCGUAACGUUCGACGGGCGAGCAAUGCGGGAGAGGAGCAGGUGGUACAUACAAAUCGAUGACCAGGGGCGGCCAAUUAUCCCCGGGUCCGACUUACGCGCCUUCGGAAGGACGUCGCGUCCGCGCACGCGUGCACUCACGCACGCACUUGUUCCCCGACUGACGCAUGACGCUGCACGCCCCUGGAGAACCGGUUCCCUCGGUUCAAAAGGAGCCGAUCAUUGGCGAACAGGCAGAGUGAAGAAUUUCACAAGGGUCUGACCAGAAGAAAGAGCUCAUUGGCAACUUCGACUGGUCCCAUGUACGGGGCAACGUUUGAUGUCCGUCCGCUGGCGGGUGUUUAGAGGAAAUUAUAGAUUUCUUGCGGUGGGAACGUAUCGAAACCCCUCGCUAUACUCGUAAGUGUCGGCUACGUAAGGCGUGCUUCGAAUAUCGAUCCGGAGUCAACGGUCAACCGAGUACGAUUGCGACUAUCCGCCGUUUGAUUUGUUGUUCGCCUUUGAUACGAACACCGAGAAAUAUCUUCACGUAGCAUCAACCAGUAAACGCUGCUAGAAUGGAUCCUCUUUUUUUAGAAAAAGUAUAAAUGUGACGUUAUUUUUGAUAAUAAAAGCAAGAGAAUUUG